rnacentral:rRNA from 2 species
UGCAAGUCGAACGAACUCUGGUAUUGAUUGGUGCUUGCAUCAUGAUUUACAUUUGAGUGAGUGGCGAACUGGUGAGUAACACGUGGGAAACCUGCCCAGAAGCGGGGGAUAACACCUGGAAACAGAUGCUAAUACCGCAUAACAACUUGGACCGCAUGGUCCGAGUUUGAAAGAUGGCUUCGGCUAUCACUUUUGGAUGGUCCCGCGGCGUAUUAGCUAGAUGGUGGGGUAACGGCUCACCAUGGCAAUGAUACGUAGCCGACCUGAGAGGGUAAUCGGCCACAUUGGGACUGAGACACGGCCCAAACUCCUACGGGAGGCAGCAGUAGGGAAUCUUCCACAAUGGACGAAAGUCUGAUGGAGCAACGCCGCGUGAGUGAAGAAGGGUUUCGGCUCGUAAAACUCUGUUGUUAAAGAAGAACAUAUCUGAGAGUAACUGUUCAGGUAUUGACGGUAUUUAACCAGAAAGCCACGGCUAACUACGUGCCAGCAGCCGCGGUAAUACGUAGGUGGCAAGCGUUGUCCGGAUUUAUUGGGCGUAAAGCGAGCGCAGGCGGUUUUUUAAGUCUGAUGUGAAAGCCUUCGGCUCAACCGAAGAAGUGCAUCGGAAACUGGGAAACUUGAGUGCAGAAGAGGACAGUGGAACUCCAUGUGUAGCGGUGAAAUGCGUAGAUAUAUGGAAGAACACCAGUGGCGAAGGCGGCUGUCUGGUCUGUAACUGACGCUGAGGCUCGAAAGUAUGGGUAGCAAACAGGAUUAGAUACCCUGGUAGUCCAUACCGUAAACGAUGAAUGCUAAGUGUUGGAGGGUUUCCGCCCUUCAGUGCUGCAGCUAACGCAUUAAGCAUUCCGCCUGGGGAGUACGGCCGCAAGGCUGAAACUCAAAGGAAUUGACGGGGGCCCGCACAAGCGGUGGAGCAUGUGGUUUAAUUCGAAGCUACGCGAAGAACCUUACCAGGUCUUGACAUACUAUGCAAAUCUAAGAGAUUAGACGUUCCCUUCGGGGACAUGGAUACAGGUGGUGCAUGGUUGUCGUCAGCUCGUGUCGUGAGAUGUUGGGUUAAGUCCCGCAACGAGCGCAACCCUUAUUAUCAGUUGCCAGCAUUAAGUUGGGCACUCUGGUGAGACUGCCGGUGACAAACCGGAGGAAGGUGGGGAUGACGUCAAAUCAUCAUGCCCCUUAUGACCUGGGCUACACACGUGCUACAAUGGAUGGUACAACGAGUUGCGAACUCGCGAGAGUAAGCUAAUCUCUUAAAGCCAUUCUCAGUUCGGAUUGUAGGCUGCAACUCGCCUACAUGAAGUCGGAAUCGCUAGUAAUCGCGGAUCAGCAUGCCGCGGUGAAUACGUUCCCGGGCCUUGUACACACCGCCCGUCACACCAUGAGAGUUUGUAACACCCAAAGUCGGUGGGGUAACCUUUUAGGAACCAGCCGCCUAAGGU